CGGGGAGGAGCCCAGAGCCUGAAUCAGUGUGUGUGUUAGUGGAAGCGUCUGGAAAGGCGCGCGAUACAGGGUGACAGCCCCGUACACAAAAAUGCACAUACUGUGAGCUCGAUGAGUAGGGCGGGACACGUGGUAUCCUGUCUGAAUAUGGGGGGACCAUCCUCCAAGGCUAAAUACUCCUGACUGACCGAUAGUGAACCAGUACCGUGAGGGAAAGGCGAAAAGAACCCCGGCGAGGGGAGUGAAAAAGAACCUGAAACCGUGUACGUACAAGCAGUGGGAGCCUCUUUUAUGGGGUGACUGCGUACCUUUUGUAUAAUGGGUCAGCGACUUAUAUUCUGUAGCAAGGUUAACCGAAUAGGGGAGCCGAAGGGAAACCGAGUCUUAACUGGGCGUUAAGUUGCAGGGUAUAGACCCGAAACCCGGUGAUCUAGCCAUGGGCAGGUUGAAGGUUGGGUAACACUAACUGGAGGACCGAACCGACUAAUGUUGAAAAAUUAGCGGAUGACUUGUGGCUGGGGGUGAAAGGCCAAUCAAACCGGGAGAUAGCUGGUUCUCCCCGAAAGCUAUUUAGGUAGCGCCUCGUGAAUUCAUCUCCGGGGGUAGAGCACUGUUUCGGCAAGGGGGUCAUCCCGACUUACCAACCCGAUGCAAACUGCGAAUACCGGAGAAUGUUAUCACGGGAGACACACGGCGGGUGCUAACGUCCGUCGUGAAGAGGGAAACAACCCAGACCGCCAGCUAAGGUCCCAAAGUCAUGGUUAAGUGGGAAACGAUGUGGGAAGGCCCAGACAGCCAGGAUGUUGGCUUAGAAGCAGCCAUCAUUUAAAGAAAGCGUAAUAGCUCACUGGUCGAGUCGGCCUGCGCGGAAGAUGUAACGGGGCUAAACCAUG
rnacentral:rRNA from 1 species